rnacentral:rRNA from 1 species
AGUGAACGCUGGCGGUAGGCCUAACACAUGCAAGUCGAACGGCAGCACAGGAGAGCUUGCUCUCUGGGUGGCGAGUGGCGGACGGGUGAGGAAUACAUCGGAAUCUACUUUUUCGUGGGGGAUAACGUAGGGAAACUUACGCUAAUACCGCAUACGACCUACGGGUGAAAGCAGGGGACCUUCGGGCCUUGCUCGAUUGAAUGAGCCGAUGUCGGAUUAGCGAGUUGGCGGGGUAAAGGCCCACCAAGGCGACGAUACGCAGCUGGUCUGAGAGGAUGAUCAGCCACACUGGAACUGAGACACGGUCCAGACUCCUACGGGAGGCAGCAGUGGGGAAUAUUGGACAAUGGGCGCAAGCCUGAUCCAGCCAUACCGCGUGGGUGAAGAAGGCCUUCGGGUUGUAAAGCCCUUUUGUUGGGAAAGAAAUCCAGCUGGCUAAUACCCGGUUGGGAUGACGGUACCCAAAGAAUAAGCACCGGCUAACUUCGUGCCAGCCGCCGCCGUAA